rnacentral:rRNA from 1 species
UACAGAGGGGCAAGCGUUGUUCGGAAUUACUGGGCGUAAAGGGCGCGUAGGCGGCCUGCUAAGUCGAACGUGAAAUCCCUGGGCUCAACCCAGGAACUGCGUCCGAUACUGGUUGGCUUGAAUCCGGGAGAGGUGAGUGGAACUGCGAGUGUAGAGGUGAAAUUCGUAGAUAUUCGCAAGAACACCAGUGGCGAAGGCGGCUCACUGGCCCGGUACUGACGCUGAGGUGCGAAAGCGUGGGGAGCAAACAGGG